ACGCAGCCUCCGUCAGUCAGCAGGUCUGAGCAGUAGGGGGUCGUCCCGUGAGGGCGGACCUGGGGAGCCGUGAGAAGAAAGACAGCAGUUGUAAUGAUAUGGCUGCAGGAUGUUGGAGAGAUAAGAGCCUCCCAGGUCCUGGUUAAUCCCUCUCUAAGCUGCUGUCACAUGAGGCCUAAUUGUGAAAGAGCAGGAGAACAGAAUCCUGGUCUCUCCAGUCAUUAAAGAGGUCGUCGGCCUACAGAAAUGCCAUCGAGUGGCAGAGGAAGCCAAAUACCACCAUGACAAUUGCCGGUGUCAGGAUGGUCCCGAACACCAGUCCAGCGAGGCAGGCGUUUAUCGUGGCAAUAAUCAGGUUCUGAGCCG